GAAUGGGAAAAGGGUAAGAGCUGGGGGUACACUUAGGGUUUUGGAUGGCAUCAGUUGUUAAUCCCGUUCAAGUCCAUAAAAAUUGAAGUGCUAUUGAAAAAAAUAAAAAAUAAAAAGCUUGUGAAUUUUAUAGAAAGUGAAUGCAGAGAAGGAAUGAAGAGGAUUUGAGUUAGGGCUCAGGGUUACGAUAUGAGAUUUUGAUUAAAAAAAAAAAAAUGAUUGUCACAGAAAAUGAAACCCUAGAAAUCUCGUUCUUCAAAGGAACAAGAAGGCUGAGUUCGGGACAAUGGGGUGUCUGAAACUGGCUGUUUGGAUCCGAUCAGAUCCCACGCAUUUCAUGUUCCAG
rnacentral:misc_RNA from 1 species